CAAGAGUCUAUCAUGUGCACGAGUCAAUGGGUUUACUAAACCUACAGGCGAAGUGAAAGCAAAGGUUAUCAUUAGACGACCGAGAGCCGAUCCCUUACUUUGAUGUAAGGCGCAGCCUCGGGACUUGCAUUCCCCAUUGUGGGAGGCGAGUACCAGGAGUGCACCUGGUAGUACCCGAAAGAUGGUGAACUAUACCUGGCCAGGACGAAGCCAGAGGAAACUCUGGUGGAGGUCCGUAACGCUUCUGACGUGCAAAUCGAUCGUUGGAGCUGGGUAUAGGGGCGAAAGACCAAUCGAACUAUCUAGUAGCUGGUUCCCUCCGAAGUUUCCCUUAGGAUAGCUGGCGCUCUUUACAGAGUUUCAUCCGGUAAAGCGAAUGAUUAGAGGUGUUGGGGACGAAACGUCCUCAACCUAUUCUCAUACUUUAAAUGGGUGAGAAGUCGGGCUUGCAAAUUUAAAUCGGAGCCCGACAGUGAAUCUGAGUGCCUAGUGGGCCAUUUUUGGUAAGCAGAACUGGCGCUGUGGGAUGAACCAAACGUUGAGUUAAGGGGCCUAAAUAAAUGCAUAUCAGAUCCCAUGAAAGGUGUUGGUUGCUAUAGACAGCAGGACGGUGGCCAUGGAAGUCGGAAUCCGCUAAGGAGUGUGUAACAACUCACCUG
rnacentral:rRNA from 1 species